rnacentral:rRNA from 1 species
UACGGAGGGUGCAAGCGUUAUCCGGAUUCACUGGGUUUAAAGGGUGCGUAGGUGGGCAGGUAAGUCAGUGGUGAAAUCUCCGGGCUUAACUCGGAAACUGCCAUUGAUGCUAUCUGUCUUGAAUACCGUGGAGGUCAGCGGAAUAUGUCAUGUAGCGGUGAAAUGCUUAGAUAUGACAUAGAACACCAAUUGCGAAGGCAGCUGGCUACACGAAUAUUGACACUGAUGCACGAAAGCGUGGGGAUCAAACAGG